CAGUCGCCGCGGUAAUACGAAGGGGGCUAGCGUUGUUCGGAAUUACUGGGCGUAAAGCGCACGUAGGCGGAUAUUUAAGUCAGGGGUGAAAUCCCAGAGCUCAACUCUGGAACUGCCUUCGAUACUGGGUAUCUUGAGUAUGGAAGAGGUUAGUGGAAUUGCGAGUGUAGAGGUGAAAUUCGUAGAUAUUCGCAGGAACACCAGUGGCGAAGGCGGCUAACUGGUCCAUAACUGACGCUGAGGUGCGAAAGCGUGGGGAGCAAACAGGAUUAGAUACCCCGGUAGUCCCUGUCUCUUAUAC
rnacentral:rRNA from 1 species